AACAUCGCGCACCUGCGGGAACCUGCGGAAGGAUCAUUACAGAGUUGCAAAACUCCCACAAACCAUCGCGAAUCUUACCCGUACGGUUGCCUCGGCGCUGGCGGUCCGGAAGGCCCUCGGGCCCCCGGACCCUCGGGUCCCCCGCUCGCGGGGGGCUGCCCGCCGGAGUGCCGAAACCAAACUCUUGAUAUUUUAUGUCUCUCUGAGUAAACUUUUAAAUAAGUCAAAACUUUUAACAAU
rnacentral:misc_RNA from 1 species